rnacentral:tRNA from 1 species
GAGAGUAUAGCUCAGUGGUAGAGUGCGUGCUUAGCAUGCACGAGGUCCUGGGUUCAAUCCCCAGUACCUCCA